GACGAACGCUGGCGGCGUGCUUAACACAUGCACGUCGAACGGAGUGGCGAACGGGUGAGUAACACGUGGGUGAUCUGCCUUGCACUUCGGGAUAAGCUUGGGAAACUGGGUCUAAUACCGGAUAGUGCAAGAUGAGCUCGCGGCCUAUCCGCGUGUCGGGGGGGUCAUGGCCUACCAAGGCGUCGACGUGUAGCCGGCCUGGGAGGGUGUACGGCCAAGUUGGGACUGAGAUACGGCCCAGACGCCUACGGGAGGAAGCAGUGGGGAAUAUUGCACAAUGGGCGGAGGGCUGAUGCAGGGACGCCGCGUGGGGGAUGAAGGCCUUCGGGUUGUAAACUGCUUUCGACAGGGACGCAGUACCUGUAUAAGAAGCACCGGCUAACGACGUGCCAGCAGCCGCGGUAAUAC
rnacentral:rRNA from 1 species